rnacentral:lncRNA from 13 species
UCUUGAAAUAGCAUCUCAGGAACUAGUUUUGAAAUGCUUGUCUGAAAUCCUUUUCUUUCUCCUUGAAUGUGUCUGAACUGCUCCUCAAUUUAGGAACUUCUGAUUCAGUUGAUUGGUGUCCUGACUAUAAUCCUGCCCAGAGCACCGUGUAAAUCUUCCAGUGGACCGUUCUUCAGGCAGGAAGUAGAGGUGCUAUGACAACAGCCUCUAAAAGCCACUGUGCCUGACUGGCUGUGGUGCUCAGUGCUGCGGAAGGUGCCGGGGGAGGUGGGGAGGUGAAAAGGUUUCUCUUUAACUCUGAACUAAGCACUAGGCACAAAACUGUUCUGUUGAUUCAAGAUGCUGUAACAUCCUGACAUGGAUGAAAUUUGACCUGGCAACUGUGUUUUCCAUAGCAUAGCAGUGGAAACAGAGGAGAAGAGAGCUGGAACAGCUUUGCUUGCAGAGGUAGAGCCCAUCUCAUGAAGCACUGCUAGAAACACAUAGGACCACACACACACACAAAGUAGAAGUGCCCACAGGAAUCUG